rnacentral:rRNA from 1 species
AUUGAACGCUGGCGGCAGGCCUAACACAUGCAAGUCGAACGAGUGGCGGACGGGUGAGUAGUGUCUGGGAAACUGCCCGAUGGAGGGGGAUAACUACUGGAAACGGUAGCUAAUACCGCAUACCAUCGGAUGUGCCCACAUGGGAUUAGCUAGUGGGUGGGGGAACGGCUCACCUAGGCGACGUUCCCUACCUGGUCUGAGAGGGUGACCAGCCACACUGGAACUGAGACACGGUCCAGACUCCUACGGGAGGCAGCAGUGGGGAAUAUUGCACAAUGGGCGCAAGCCUGAUGCAGCCAGGCCGCGUGUAUGAAGAAGGCCUUCGGGUUGUAAAGUACUGUCAGCGAGGAGGCGUUACUCGCAGAAGAAGCACCGGCUAACUCCGUGCCAGCCGCCGCGGUAAUAC